rnacentral:rRNA from 1 species
UACGGGGGGGGCAAGCGUUGUUCGGAAUUACUGGGCGUAAAGGGCUCGUAGGCGGCCAACUAAGUCAUACGUGAAAUCCCUCGGCUUAACCGGGGAACUGCGUCUGAUACUGGAUGGCUUGAGUUCGGGAGAGGGAUGUGGAAUUCCCGGUGUAGCGGUGAAAUGCGCAGAUAUCGGGAGGAACACCAGUAGCGAAGGCGGCUCGCUGGGCCAUUCCUGACGCUGAGACGCGAAAGCUAGGGGAGCGAACAGG